rnacentral:rRNA from 2 species
GUCCCACCUGACCCCAUGCCGAACUCAGAAGUGAAACGCCGUAGCGCCGAUGGUAGUGUGGGGUCUCCCCAUGUGAGAGUAGGGAACUGCCAGGCA